AAUAGUUCCACAGAGCUGCCGCUGUUUGCCCUCUGAGGGUUUUAAACUGGAAUCUCCAGAACCUCUUCUAAAUCAGAGCUGGGUCAAACGAUUUCACGAAGGAUCUACAGGAAAAAAAAUGAACUCACUAAAUAAUUUUUUAUUCCAUAUCUCGUUUCUAAAACCUCAUAAUUAAGAAAGAAACUGAAGAAAAGGUUAUAAAAGUUAACAUCCCUGUGAACAAUCUUCCUCUAUUUUGUAUGUGGGUCGCCACCAGAUCGUGGCUGACAAGUAGUGUAGGUCCGUGCCCAAGAUCCAAACCCAUGAACCUGGGCCACUGAAGCGGAGUGCAUGAACUUAAUCACUGUGCCGCAGGGCCAGCCCAGCCUUACUCUUUCAGCCACGUGAGGAUGCAGUGAGAAGUCAGCCACCUGAGCCCAGAAGAGGAUUCUCACCAGCACGCGACCAUACUGGCACCUAAUGUGGGGCUGCCAACGUCCAGAAUGAUGAGAAAUAAAUGUCUGUUGUUGAAAAG
rnacentral:lncRNA from 1 species